rnacentral:rRNA from 1 species
CAAUAGCGUAUAUUAAAGUUGUUGCAGUUAAAAAGCUCGUAGUUGGAUUUCUGGUAGGAGCGACCGUGCCGAACUUGAUUGUUCGAGUAUUGUGUUGUCUUCAGCCAUCCUCGUGGAGAACUUUUCUAACAUUAACUUGUUGGGAUUGGGACCCGCGUCGUUUACUGUGAAAAAAUUAGGGUGUUUAAAGCAGGCAUUAGCUUGAAUACAUUAGCAUGGAAUAAUAAGAUAGGACUUUGGUACUAUUUUGUUGGUUUGCAUACCAAAUUAAUGAUCAACAGGAACAGUUUGAGGAUAUUCGUAUGAACAUGUCAGAGGUGAAAUUCUUGGAUUUUGAUCAGACGAACUACUGCGAAAGCAUUUAUCAAGGAUGUUUUCAUUAA